UAGGCUUUAUUAUAAUAGAGAAUAACUAGUUGUUACCUAGUAGGUGCAGGUUUCUGUAGGCCUAA
rnacentral:tRNA from 1 species